rnacentral:misc_RNA from 1 species
UGGAUGUGCUGUUGAUUUC